ACGCCGGUAGCUCAAUGGGAGAGCAUCGUGCUUUUAGCACGAGGUUGCAGGUUCAAGUCCUGCCCGGUAUCCCU
rnacentral:tRNA from 1 species